rnacentral:misc_RNA from 1 species
AAGUCGUAACAAGGUUUCCGUAGGUGAACCUGCGGAAGGAUCAUUAUCAAUGGCUUAUGCCAACCCAACCUGUGUGCACCUUCCUGCCUGGUGGUGGAAGCUUGGGGACGACUUUGGUCUGAACCAGGUGACCACUGCCCAUUGAUUACCUAUUAUAUUAAAUUACUAUUCCAUUACCCAUCUGCGUCGAGCACUUGUGCUAGGCCAGAUAACUGAACAACUAUUAGCAAUGGAUCUCUAGGCUCUCAUAGCGAUGAAGAACGCAGC